rnacentral:tmRNA from 1 species
GGGGCAGACCUGGAUUUGACAGCAUGAAGAAUAGGUAUGUAAGCAUGUCGGGAGCAGUGAAACGGCCCGUAAAUCCCGGACACAAAAUUUUAGUUGGCGAAAAUAAUUACGCUCUCGCUGCCUAAUCUUUAGAAGAUUGAAGGCUUAAUCCCUGUUCAAGGAACGGGGACGGGACAUCCCGCCGGUGGUUCCA